rnacentral:rRNA from 1 species
GCGAAGAGGUCACACCCGUUCCCAUACCGAACACGGAAGUUAAGCUCUUCAGCGCCGAUGGUAGUUGGGGGUCUCCCCCUGUGAGAGUAGGACAUCGCCAGGC